AACGGGAGGCAGCAGUAGGGAAUCUUCCACAAUGGACGCAAGUCUGAUGGAGCAACGCCGCGUGAGUGAAGAAGGUUUUCGGAUCGUAAAGCUCUGUUGUUGGUGAAGAAGGACAGGGGUAGUAACUGAUUCUUGUUUGACGGUAAUCAACCAGAAAGUCACGGCUAACUACGUGCCAGCAGCCGCGGUAAUACGUAGGUGGCAAGCGUUGUCCGGAUUUAUUGGGCGUAAAGCGAACGCAGGCGGGAGAAUAAGUCAGCUGUGAAAGCCCUCAGCUUAACUGGGGAACUGCAGCUGAAACUAUUUUUCUUGAGUGCAGAAGAGGAGAGUGGAACUCCAUGUGUAGCGGUGGAAUGCGUAGAUAUAUGGAAGAACACCAGUGGCGAAGGCGGCUCUCUGGUCUGUAACUGACGCUGAGGUUCGAAAGCAUGGGUAGCGAACAGGAUUAGAUACCCUGGUAGUCCAUGCCGUAAACGAUGAGUGCUAAGUGUUGGGAGGUUUCCGCCUCUCAGUGCUGCAGCUAACGCAUUAAGCACUCCNCCUGGGGAGUACGACCNCANGGUUAAAACUCAANGGAAUUGACGGGGGCCNNCACAANCGGUG
rnacentral:rRNA from 1 species